CUUGGCCUUACCCAGAAGCACAAACCACCAUCUACGGGGUGUCUGUUGCUAUUGAGACAGACCACUGGUAUAGUCAUCGAGUGUUUGCUAAUCCCUUGACACUAUCGAAGUUAAAUACACACUAUAACCGGGGAAGAGAAUGCCUUGGCAUCAUCAAAGGAAACUUGCAGGAGAUAAAAACCCCAUAUGGAAGAUGUCCUCCCUGUACCAGGAGGAAAGUACCAUUUUCAUCAUCAAGGACCGGAAGUUGAAGCUGACGGAAUUCUGUAUCAACAGACCUUGUUAAAACAAUUCUUGUCUUCCUUUAGCCGCCCCACAUAUUUUAGUUACUUUUCCACUAUUCUCUCUCUUUGUUCAACAUAGUAUAAAAGCAUUUAGAUUCUGCCACUUCUUUGGGUCUUCAUUUCCUUAUGAAGGCUACUGUGUCAUGCAAAACUUAUAUAAAAUAA
rnacentral:lncRNA from 1 species